rnacentral:rRNA from 1 species
GUGAGGAAUAUUGCGCAAUGUAGGCAACUCUGACGCAGCCAUGCCGCGUGCAGGAAGAAUGCGCUACGCGUUGUAAACUGCUUUUAACCGGGAAGAAACCCCAGGACGUGUCCUGGGUUGACGGUACCGGAGGAAUAAGCACCGGCUAACUUCGUGCCAGCAGCCGCGGUAAUACGAAUGGUGCAAGCGUUAUCCGGAUUCAUUGGGUUUAAAGGGUGCGUAGGCGGAGCGUUAAGUCAGUGGUGAAAUCCUGCAGCUUAACUGUAGACUUGCCAUUGAUACUGGCGCUCUUGAGUGCGCUUGAAGUGGGCGGAAUGUGCCGUGUAGCGGUGAAAUGCUUAGAUAUGGCACAGAACACCAAUUGCGAAGGCAGCUCACUAAGGCGAUACUGACGCUGAGGCACGAAAGCGUGGGGAUCGAACAGGAUUAGAUACCCCGAUAGUCC